GAGGCGCAGGGCCAACCUCACCUGCACUCCCCAGAGCCACCCCUCCGCUUCUCUCAUGUCUCCGGCUAUCAAUCAACCAAGUCACACAGAGAUGGACCGAGCAGUCUUUUUGGAGCCAAGAGCUAUGUUUCUCCUAAACUGUUGGUUCCCGGAUUCUUAAAAGAUUUUGUUUUGGCUUCAUUGCUCACAACAAUCGAGAACAACCUUGAAAACUUCUGGAGAGGAAAUCCCUUUCAGCUUUCUAUUUCUGCGAUUCUCUGGUUACUUUUCAAUGCAUAGUGAAUGAUAAAAGAACCAUUAAGAAAGCAUUCCCAACCAGAGGACUUGUGGACCCACUUCAACGUGGAGCUAAGGGUCUCUCACUUACCUAUCAAGGCACAUUUAACAGCGGGGGACAUUUAUUGAACAUCUAUCAGUUGCCCAGAGCAGUUGUUGGCAGGCGUCAAGGCUGACCAAGGCUCCGGUGCUCAGCUCAGAAAGGAACCAAGAAGCCGUCCAGAGCCUGGGUGGUUUCCCAGGUGAGUGGCCUCUGAGGUCGCGAGACCUCACGCUCAGGGGUCCCCAUGCUGGGCUUCGGGCUCUGCCAUCUCCGUAUUGAAUUCCCAAAUUAUUUUCUCAUGGAACUGAGUUUUUAAGUGAAGUCUGUGGCAACAAGGAAGCAUAUGUGUGAUCAGAGGAGAGAGAAGGAUGGGGGACGAAGGAGACGAUCUUUAUGGGCAGUGCGAUUGUCUUAGGCAGCUCGGGCAGCCAUGGCAAAUACUGCAGACUGAACAUCAUUCAGAUAGUCACCUCCAGAGCUGGUAGCUCUGCUCCAACAACGGCAAUGUCCAUGGUACAGUCUGGAGGUGGCCAGUCCAAGCUCAAGGUGCCAACCGUUCGCUUUCUGGCGAGGGCUCUCUUCUGGCUGGUAGACGCUGCCUUCUUGCUGUGUCCUUGUAUGACAGGUGUCGUGGGCAUCACACACUAGACAUGUCCCUGGAAGUUCUUGCAGGGACUGGGUUAUGUCUUAGUGGUUUGGAGUCACUGUACGGCUAGCGGAUUCGUUUCCUAUGCUGCCGUAACGGAGUGCCACAGACAGGGUGCCACAACAACAGAAAUGGACUGUCUCAAGUUCUGGAGGCUGGAAGUCCCAGACAAAGGUGUCACAGGGUUGGUUCUUCCUGAGGCCUUGAGGAAGAACCUGUUCCAGGCCUCUCCUUGCUUCUGGCGUUUGCCCGUCCUCAGUGCUCCCUCCUUGAAAAUAAAAUUAGAUAAUGUCCGUGAAGUGCUCAGCUCCCUGCCUGGUUGUCGCAGUCACUGGAAAAGAGACACAUCACCCGGUGGCACUGAAGGGGACUCUCACUGAAUGGCAGCGAUGCAGCUGGGGCUGUGCUUCUUUGGCCAGCCUAGUUAGGAUGGCCCCGGGCAGGCUGCAGUAACAACUCCUCAGGGUGACCUCUGAGGACAGCAUGGGCAAAGAGAAUGUCCUGAAGUCUCCAGGGAGAUAAAACAGAUUUUCUAGGCAAAAUUGAAACCGCUGUGACUUCAGACUUGCUAACACCAGGAUGUGGAAAACAAUGAAGCAAUGCUGUCAAAACCCUAACAUUCUACGCCCAGCCGCGUCGUCACUGUGGUGUGGGGACAGAUUCACGACCUCAGCCCCUAAAUCUAUCUACCUCUCCUGCACCCCUUCUCAGGAGGCAAGUGGAGGUAUUGAGGGGCGCUUGAGGAGCAGCCCCUGUCUGCACCGGGAGCUCAUGGCCAAGUUCGUCUGAGACUACUUCUCCCAGGACUGCUGCCAACCCGUGGCUGAGUUCGGGGGGCAGGGGUGCUAAGGCAGGCCUGCUCCCGGGACACCUGUGACAUGGCUGAAGGAUGGCUUCAGCUCACACACAUCCCACCGCCUUAUCAAAUGUUCCUGAGGACCGCAUUGAAGUCUCAGAUGAUUUCUGCCUCCGUCUCUCCCUCUUUGCUUUCCUUCCUUGUUCCCCUUGCCCCGUUUCCUCUCUCCUUCACUCUGAGUUACACCUGUCUUGCCACCUUCCCCUGCCCAGCCUCUCAGACUCCCUCCCUGUGUCCUACUCGGGUGUUUGCCCUGAAUGCACGUCCUGGAGUCAGCUUUGUUGGAAACACAGGCUAACACAGAUAUGCUCCACCAAACGGAGGGAGUUAACCAAGGAAAAGGACAGCCAGAAUCCAGAAAAUAGAGGCAAAACACAAAAGUGAGAAAAGGGUCACUUCAUGAUGAUGGUAAAAUAAAAUUCCAGAAAGAAGUUCUUCAGGAAGCCUGGAAAGUAACCCAUGCAGAAUGGUGCCAGCCGGUGAGGGGGUCUGCUGGGACAGCGUCCCCGUCCCGGGAAGAGGGCGGGGGAAGGGUCAUUAACACGUGUGAACAUUUUGAGAGGAGACUCAUCAACCAGAGGAGAGUUGGGGAAGAAUUGGGUUAAAUACUUAAAAAAACUAAGCAAAGUAGAAACAAACAUGUAAUUAUUAACUGCAGAGAAAAGGGUGAGCAGAACAGGAAGAGCGCACCGAAGGCGUCGUUACAGAGGGAAACAAUUCCUCCUCUCCCAAUGUGGGACUUCAAUAGAUGAUGCCUAGAACUGGAAACUCAAAAGAUAGUAAUGCCAGGAUGGCUUUUCGAGCUGUGUUAGAAAUACCAAGAGAAUGGCCGGGCGCGUGGCUCACGCCUGUAAUCCCAGCACUUUGGGAGGCUGAGGCGGGCGGAUCACCUGAGGCCAGAAGUUCAA